rfam:Candidatus Synechococcus spongiarum 15L contig141, whole genome shotgun sequence.
GGGCUUGUAGCUCAGUGGAUUAGAGCACCUGACUACGGAUCAGGGUGUCGGGAGUUCGAAUCUCUCCAGGCCCG